ACUUUUGUAGUAAAAUAUUAUUACAUUGAUAUUAAAAAUCAAAGAUGAGACUUUUCUCCCUAAGUA
rnacentral:tRNA from 1 species